GAAGAUAAUACCACCUUAUCUUCUGCAUCCAUUGAUGAAGAAGUAGAGCCUCCUCCUCCUGAAGAACCUGUUAGACAACAAAUCCCUCCUCCCGCCCCCAAAAGAGAUCAAACCACC
rnacentral:ribozyme from 1 species